GCUGCCUUCAGGAGGGAUUAUGACAUAUGCCUGGACCAAACACCUGGAUGACGUGACACUCCUGCAUGAGCCUUGCCCUAAGGGGAUAUUUUUACAUGUUGGUGAACUCAGCAUCUAGGUGAUGUGACUCUACUCUUCUGCCUGGGCCCUGCCCACAGAGGGCAUUGGAACAUUUCACUUGGCUCAGCACCAAGAAGAUGUUACUCUCCUACCUGGACCUCUCCCACAGGGGACACCUAGAUGAUAUGAUUUUUCUUCCUGGUUCCUGCCCAGACUUCAAAUUGUGAUGUAUAUCUGGGCCCAAAACACAGCCAAUAGAUGAAAAAAGAUGCAAAGAAGACACAUUUGCUUUUUAUGCACACAUCACUUCCAGUCACUAUGUUGAGCAGAGUCAGUGUGAGGACAAUUGAGAAUAGCAGUUUUCUGGCAGGACAGCCACUUCUCAGCAGAAGAUGACACAAUAAAAGUAUAAAUCUUUCAUGGGAGGCUCACAUAUUUUCAGCAAAUUAAGCAUAUGCAUGAAUAAAAUUCUUG
rnacentral:lncRNA from 1 species